rnacentral:rRNA from 1 species
GAUGAACGCUGGCGGCGUGCUUAACACAUGCAAGUCGAACGGAAAGGCCCAAGCUUGCUUGGGUACUCGAGUGGCGAACGGGUGAGUAACACGUGGGUGAUCUGCCCUGCACUUCGGGAUAAGCCUGGGAAACUGGGUCUAAUACCGGAUAGGACCACAUUUUGGAUGGUGUGGUGGAAAGUUUUUCGGUGUGGGAUGAGCUCGCGGCCUAUCAGCUUGUUGGUGGGGUAAUGGCCUACCAAGGCGUCGACGGGUAGCCGGCCUGAGAGGGUGUACGGCCACAUUGGGACUGAGAUACGGCCCAGACUCCUACGGGAGGCAGCAGUGGGGAAUAUUGCACAAUGGGCGCAAGCCUGAUGCAGCGAUGCCGCGUGGGGGAUGACGGCCUUCGGGUUGUAAACUCCUUUCGCUAGGGACGAAGCGCAAGUGACGGUACCUGGAGAAGAAGCACCGGCUAACUACGUG